rnacentral:misc_RNA from 1 species
GAUGAAGAACGUAGCGAAACGCGAUAAGUAAUGUGAAUUGCAGAAUUCAGUGAAUCAUCGAGUCUUUGAACGCACAUUGCGCCCCCUGGUAUUCCGGGGGGCAUGCCUGUCCGAGCGUCAUUGCUGCCCUCAAGCCCGGCUUGUGUGUUGGGUCUCGUCCCCCUUCCCGGGGGGACGGGCCCGAAAGGCAGCGGCGGCACCGCGUCCGGUCCUCGAGCGUAUGGGGCUUUGUCACCCGCUCUGUAGGCCCGGCCGGCGCUUGCCGAUCAACCAAAACUUUUUUCCAGGUUGACCUCGGAUCAGGUAGGGAUACCCGCUGAACUUAAGCAUAUCAAUAAGCGGAGGA